rnacentral:rRNA from 1 species
CAGUAGCCGCGGGAAUACGUAGGGUGCAAGCGUUAAUCGGAAUUACUGGGCGUAAAGCGUGCGCAGGCGGUUUGUUAAGACAGAUGUGAAAUCCCCGGGCUCAACCUGGGAACUGCAUUUGUGACUGGCAAGCUAGAGUCUGGCAGAGGGGGGUGGAAUUCCCGGUGUAGCGGUGAAAUGCGUAGAGAUCGGGAGGAACAUCAGUGGCGAAGGCGGCCAUCUGGGACAACACUGACGCUGAGGCACGAAAGCGUGGGGAGCAAACAGGAUUAGAUACCCCUGUAGUCCCUGUCUCUUAUAC